rnacentral:rRNA from 1 species
GUGGAUUAGAUACCCUGGUAGUCCACGCCCUAAACGAUGUCAACUAGGUGUUGGAAGGGUUAAACCUUUUAGUGCCGUAGCUAACGCGUGAAGUUGACCGCCUGGGGAGUACGGCCGCAAGGCUAAAACUCAAAGGAAUUGACGGGGACCCGCACAAGCGGUGGAUGAUGUGGAUUAAUUCGAUGCAACGCGAAAAACCUUACCUACCCUUGACAUGUCAGGAAUCCCGGAGAGAUUUGGGAGUGCCCGAAAGGGAGCCUGAACACAGGUGCUGCAUGGUUGUCGUCAACU